UCAGCCAAUCAUAUCUGCAAACACAAGCACAUUGCACAUAUAAACAGUCCAAACGCUAACUUACAGUUUUCUAGCUUGCAAGUUUGAUGAUGAAGCAUGCAAGUUACUGGGUUAACGGACCAAGAAUUCUAGCCUAUUCCAUAUCUCAUUUGAUCCAAAGUGUUACACGUAACAUGCUGCACUCACGAAUCUCAUGACCUUACAAAUUUACUUUGCUGAG
rnacentral:misc_RNA from 1 species